UACGUAGGGUGCGAGCGUUAAUCGGAAUUACUGGGCGUAAAGCGUGCGCAGGCGGUUCGUUGUGUCGGCGGGGAAAGCCCCGGGCUCAACCUGGGAAUGGCCGUUGAAACUGGCGAACUGGAGUGUGGCAGAGGGGGGUGGAAUUCCGCGUGUAGCAGUGAAGUGCGUAGAGAUGCGGAGGAACACCGAUGGCGAAGGCAGCCCCCUGGGCUGACACUGACGCUCAGGCACGAAAGCGUGGGGAGCAAAUAGG
rnacentral:rRNA from 1 species